AAACUAUGCAUCAGACAUUUGUGCAACAAAUCCUUUAGAAGCUCCCAAGCUUCAUAAAUGUUCUCAUCCUCCAUUUGCUUGAAUGAUGUGAGAUCAUUCAUUAAUUU